UGGUCAACACAAGUGACUUUUUUUAGUCCACACGUGAUUACUGUCUCAUCAUUUUGCCAGUCUGACAGAAAGUACACGAUCUACUACACCACAGACAGAGAGAGAGAGAAAAAAUCAUGGAGGACCAAUGGAAGUGGUCACUGUGACACUCCUAAUAGGGAGGGGACGAAAUCCAGCAGUGGAAGCUAGAAAGCCAAAAGCCUGAAGUAUCUAAUGGAAAGUGUCUGAUGGAGAACAUGGACGUGUCUGGGCAGCGUGGAGAGCCUGGGCUUCACAUCACCUGGACUCCGGCAGGAGACCAACAUCAGGAGACCAAGCUUUCGCAUUAGUAGGCCAUAAGCUGUGUAAUACCUUGCCACCACCAGUCAGAACUGCUUCUACGUUUGCGGAAUUUAAAUCCAUGUUAAAAACACACCUCUUUCCCUGUACUUUUUAUUGUUGUUAAUUUGUACGUGUUCUUUUAUAUUUAUGUUCUUUCUUUUUUUCCUUUUCUUUUAUCUCUAUGUUUAGUACUUUCAUAUCUAUGUACAGAUAAAUUUUAAUUUAAUUGAAUUGAAACCUUCAGAGGGGGGACACGGUGGCUUAGUGGUUAGCACGUUCGCCUCACACCUCCAGGGUUGGGGGUUCGAGUCCCGCCUCCACCUUGUGUGUGUGGA